rnacentral:rRNA from 1 species
AACGAACGCUGGCGGCAUGCCUAACACAUGCAAGUCGAACGAGAUCUUCGGGUCUAGUGGCGCACGGGUGCGUAACGCGUGGGAAUCUGCCCUUUGGUUCGGAAUAACAGUUGGAAACGACUGCUAAUACCGGAUGAUGACGAAAGUCCAAAGAUUUAUCGCCAGAGGAUGAGCCCGCGUAGGAUUAGCUAGUUGGUGUGGUAAAGGCGCACCAAGGCGACGAUCCUUAGCUGGUCUGAGAGGAUGAUCAGCCACACUGGGACUGAGACACGGCCCAGACUCCUACGGGAGGCAGCAGUGGGGAAUAUUGGACGAUGGGCGAAAGCCUGAUCCGGCAAUGCCGCGUGAGUGAUGAAGGCCUUAGGGUUGUAAAGCUCUUUUACCCGGGAUGAUAAUGACAGUACCGGGAGAAUAAGCUCCGGCUAACUCCGUGCCAGCCGCCGCGGUAA